rnacentral:rRNA from 1 species
AAAUAGAUACCCGGGUAGUCCACGCCGUAAACGAUGGAUACUAGCUGUUUGAGCGCAAGUUUGAGUGGCUAAGCGAAAGUGAUAAGUAUCCCACCUGGGGAGUAUGGGCGCAAGCCUGAAACUCAAAGGAAUUGACGGGGGCCCGCACAAGCGGUGGAGCAUGUGGUUUAAUUCGAUGAUACGCGAGGAACCUUACCAGGGCUUAAAUGUAGAUUGACGUAUUUGGAAACAGAUAUUUCUUCGGACAAUUUACAAGGUGCUGCAUGGUUGUCGUCAGCUCGUGCCGUGAGGUGUCAGGUUAAGUCCUAUAACGAGCGCAACCCCUGUUGUUAGUUGCCAGCGAGUAAUGUCGGGAACUCUAGCAAGACUGCCAGUGUAAACUGUGAGGAAGGUGGGGAUGACGUCAAAUCAUCACGGCCCUUACGUCCUGGGCCACACACGUGCUACAAUGGCCGGUACAGAGAGCAGCCACUUAGCGAUAAGGAGCGAAUCUAUAAAGCCGGUCACAGUUCGGAUCGGAGU